rfam:Brachypodium distachyon strain Bd21 chromosome 3, whole genome shotgun sequence.
UAUAUACUUCCUCCAUCCAACAAAGGAUGUCUCAACUUUGACUAAAUUUGAAUGCAUCUAUACACUAAGUCAUGUCUAGAUAUAUUCAAAUUUUGACAAAAUUGAGACAUCUUUUGUUGGACGGAGAGAGUAUAUC